GACGAACGCUGGCGGCGUGCUUAACACAUGCAAGUCGAGCGGUAAGGCCCCUUCGGGGGUACACGAGCGGCGAACGGGUGAGUAACACGUGGGUGACCUGCCCUCAGCUCUGGGAUAAGCCUGGGAAACCGGGUCUAAUACCGGAUAUGACUCCAUGACGCAUGUUGUGGGGUGGAAAGCCUUGUGCGGCUGAGGAUGGGCCCGCGGCCUAUCAGCUUGUUGGUGGGGUGAUGGCCUACCAAGGCGACGACGGGUAGCCGGCCUGAGAGGGCGACCGGCCACACUGGGACUGAGACACGGCCCAGACUCCUACGGGAGGCAGCAGUGGGGAAUCUUGCGCAAUGGGCGAAAGCCUGACGCAGCGACGCCGCGUGAGGGAUGACGGCCU
rnacentral:rRNA from 1 species